rnacentral:lncRNA from 1 species
CAGAGUUCUCUCUCAUUAACAUAUUUUGAGACAGGGUCUCUCUCUGUUGCCCAAGCAUGAUUUCUGCUCAUUGCAGCUUUGUGCAGCCUUGACCUCCUGAGCUCAAGUGAUCCUUCCACCUUAGCCUCCCCAGUAGCUGGGACUACAGGCACACAGAGUCACACUGAGCUAAAAUUUUUUUGUAUUUUUUUUUAGAGAUGGGGUUUUGCCAUGUUGCUCAGGCUGGUCUUGAACUCCUGAGCUCAAGUGAUCCACUCACUUCAGCCUCGCAAAGUGCUGGGAUUACAUGCAUGAGCCGCUGCGCUUGGCUCUCUUCCAUGUCUUUUUGUGGCUUUCUUUCUUUCCUUUUUUUUUUUUUUUUUAUCACUGGAUAAUAUUCCACUGUAUGGAUGUACCACAGUAUUGCUCUCAAUCAUAUUCUAUUGACCAAAGUAAGCCACAUGGCAACCCUGACUUCAAGGGAGGGAAGGGUUAUCCAAUCAUAUAAUUGGAAGAAGAAAAAGUAGAACUAUUUUGUGAGCAGCACUAAUUAACCCUUUUGCUUCCAUGUCUUGAAUGAAGUAACAAUGUUAUGCUCACAGUCAAAUCUUUUUCAGGGUAAGUGAGAGAGUUUCAAUUUAACGACAACUUGGACCCCCAAUUUUUGCUAUGAAGAAAGUAAUAAAAGGAGCCAGAACACUCCUCAUAUAUUACAAAAAAAUCUCAAUAUGAUCUCAAAGCUUGGCUGCAGGCUGCUCACAGAUCCUCUGUGUCCUCCCUGAAUACCAUGUAAGUGACAGCGUCUUUGGAGUCCUAAAGGGGCCACACCUUUGUCAGAAGCCAUAUGCACUUGUUAAACUGAACUAAAUAUGGCCUGAGAAGGACGCCAUACUUCUAAAUUUGAGUCCAUGAGGACAAACUGUAACCUAACUUUAUAGUCAGAUAGGAUUGAAAACCUGACUUAAGAGUAUGUGCCUGUAACAAUAGCUGAGGUCUGGCCAAUCACAGCAGCCAUACGUCAACCACUCAUACACUGCUGAGUGUUCAGAUUUGUUCAAAAAAGGCAAAUGUUGAGCUGUAAUCAGUCCAGCUGUUUCUGUACCUCACUUCUGAUUUCUGCACGUCACUUCCCUUUUGUUGUCUAUAAAUUUGUUCUGACCAUAAGGCAUCCCUGGACUCUCUCUGAAUCUGUUGUGAUUCUGGAGGCUGCCCAAUUUAUGAAUUUUUUUUUCUUGCUCAGUUAAACUCUGUUAAAUUUAAUUUGUCUGAAGUUUCCUUUUAACACAGUAUAGCCUCAGAAUAUUGCUCAAUAUUGUCCUGGACGUAGACAGAAGUGAUAACAAAUCAGGUAAAGGCCAGUCCAGAAAACAGACACCCAUCAGUUUUCCUAAUAAAGAAUACUUAAUAUAAGGAAUUGAAGCACUGAAAGUGAGGAGGAGGACCACUGGAGGGUCACGGAGCUAGCAACUGCAGGAAGCAAUCGCUACCCCUAGGGCUGAGAGAACAAAAGGGAUGCGUCAGGUGCCUGGGAUCUGGAAGCUUGGAGGAGGGCCCUGCAGAGCUGGAAACUGGACCAGGAGGGAGGGGUGCUGCCUGGUGGAGGCAGGUGCGUUGGAGACUCAGAGCAGGGACCCUCAAAACAGGGACUCAAUAUCUGGGGAGGAGGUUCUGGUUGACAGACGCUAUCACUGAGGGAGUGUGUUCUUGUAGUGAGGAAAAUAACUGCAAACUGGAGCUAAGGGCUGCUGGGAUGAUACUGACAGGACCAGCAAAAAAACAGAAGGAACAAAUCCCUUCUUCCCCACUGCCUCCAGACUCCCUCUAGUGCCCCACUACUGGCAGCCUAAGAGAAAUCCCUCUGGCAAAGCUGAAAUGUGAUUACAGAGGCCCAGCCCCAGCAACACAAAGCUGAGAAUGAAGGGUGAGUGUGGAGUUUACAGGCAACAGCUUAAUAAUCAACACAGACACUAAACAAAUAUUUGGUCCCUGUCUCUUAUGCUAAUAUUUGCUCAUUACAGCUAAAAGACUCUGAGGAAGGCCGAGGUCAGAGAAGGCGUAAGAUCUGCUAUUGACAUGUCCUGAAAGCCUUCCUUUUUGGUAACUGUCAGCUAAAAGAAUCAUCCCGGCAGUAUCAUCUGGAAACUCGUCCAGCUUGUUUUUUGGCCACCACUCAAUAAGAACUUAGUUUGAGUUCCUUGCUCUUGCUUUAAGUAGCUUUUAGAGUUCUUUGAGACAUUUGUACUUGAGAUAGAGAAAAGAACAGCUCCAUGACAAUCUUGGCUUCCCCAGGGUAUUUGAAGGGGCUUACUGUCCAUUCCCAGUUCUGAAUCACCAAAUUCCACUAAAUAGCCAAGGUACUCACCAACCGUUCUUCCUUAAUCUUUGCAGUCCUUCCUGUUCCCAUUUCUUAUUUUUAUGUAUUUCUGUCCUUUCUUUUCCCUGUUUUAAAAUCCUUCCCCUUCUUCUUUUCUGCCAUUCCACUGCUUUUCCUGAUAACCCUCACUCUUCCCGGGGGACAGCACAGUGUGCUUGAAAGAGCAUGACUCCUGCACAAGAAGGGCCUAGGGUUAAAUCCUAAUUCUAAUGUUUACUUGCUUUAUGAUCUUGAGCAAGUAAUUUUUCAUUUUCAGUUUUUUAAAAUGGAAAUAAUUGCUAGGAUACGUGUACUUUGUAAGAAGAAAAUGAGAGAAUGUAUAUGUAGUGCCUGAUAGAUAAUAGGUGCUUGUUAAAUAUUUGCUUCCAUCUCUCUUUUUGUUGUUGUUAUCAAAUGCACCCUUAGGUACACCUAUUGAAAACCAACUUAAGACUUCCUUAUGUCUGCUGCAGAGCCCUGCGCUAGGCGCCUAUCUUAGACCCAGCCUGAAUUCUUCUCCUAAAGUACCGAAUUGUUUAUUUAAUCUGGCCAUAUUUUAUUUAACUCACUUUCUCUGUCUUAAUUAUUUGGAAACUGGUGAGGCUCAAAAUUCAGUCUGUGGCAGCCAGAAUUACUAAGCUGGUGUAUUUUGACUAAAACAGGGGAAAGUUUGCAGCAUAAGGGAAAGAAAAGACAGACUAGGUUUGGAUUACUCUGACUGGAAUCAGUGGGAGAUGGAAGGUUCAAGUCCUAAACUGGCAUUCCCUCACACUUCAUGCCAGGACCAGCCAUCAGAUACCACUCAUCGUCAUGUGCAGACUGGCCCUAGAGCUGGAAAAUGGCCACCGAGGUCACGAGAGGGUGGAAAUAAUAUUUCACUCUGUCUCAGUGUUACGACACCUUGCUGGUUAUUUACCUUCCAGUCCUUUGGAACCCUUAACUAGAAGUAGUUGCAAAGUCAGCCAGCCAGCGAGCUAAGUACUGAGCCAAGCAUCACUGAAGAAUUUGUGUGGCACCUCAUGUGUGCAAGAUGGCUGCUGCUGCAGUGGCAAGCACCAUGUCUUCACUGACCUGCACAGAAGCUUAAAUUCUGACUUGCUUGAUGGCAUGGCAUGCAUGCCCAAUGGGAAAAGCCAUUUGAUUCAUGUACAGGUUCAUGAAGGGCAUGAUUACUGGGAGCUUCCCUUUUGGACUUGAAGUAUAAGAUUUAUUUCACACUGAUGCCCUUCCUUGAGUAAUAAUAACACUAAUAUUCACUGAGCACUUAUUACCUUCCAAGCUAAACCUUUUGUUUGUUUGUUUGUUUGUUUUUGACACAGAGUCUCACUCUGUUGCCCAGGAUGGAAUGCAGUGGUGCCAUCUUGGCUCACUGCAACCUCCACCUCCCGGGUUCAAGUGAUUCUCCUGCCUCAGCCUCCUGAGUAGCUGGGACUACAGGUGUGCACCACCAUGCUGGGCUAAUUUUUGUACUUUUUGUAGAGACAGGGUUUCAACAUGUUGACUAGGCUGGUCUUGAGCUACUGGCCUCAUGUGAUCUGCCUGCCUUGACUUCCCGAAGUGCUGGGAUUACAGGCGUGAGCCACCCUGCACUGUGGCCAAACGCUUUUAUAUGAACAUUUUAGUCAUCUUCAUAACAACUCCACAGAGAGGAUAUUAUUUAUAUUAUCUUCAUUUUACAGAUGAGAAAACUAAAGCUUAGAACAGGGUUUUUCAAAUUGUGGGUCUGAAACCAUUAGUAGACCAUGAAAUCAAUUUGCUGGAUUAUGACUAGCAUUUAUAGAAAUUUACAUAGAAUAGGACCAAUCAAAUGGUGCUCACAAAAUAUCAAAAAUAAUUAUUUUUUAUUAAUCUUUUAAUUUAUGUGAGUAUGUGUGUGUGUGUGCACACACGUAGAGUAUUAUUUAUGUUAAAUAUAUUUCUUACUGUGGAUUGCAGUGAAAAAAUGUUUGAAAAGUCUAUCUUUGAGUUUAAGUAACUUGCCCAAGAUCAUGUGGUAAAUUAUGAAGCUGUAAUUUGAGCCCAUGCAGUCUGAGACCAGAAUCUGUGCUCUCAAUCUCUGCCAUGCUGCCAACUUAACUUAGAGCAUGGGGAGCCCAAGAAAGGGCAGUCGUGUAGAGAGGGAAAACAAUGGGAGAGGAGCAGCUGGAGAAUGGAGGCAAGGCCCCAGACUCCUGGAGAAUGUUCUGUGUUCCUGUUACUGGGCUCAGGUUGCAAAGGUUUAGCACGCGAAUGGCCGUGGCGCUCUCUGGACAGCCCUCAGAACCACAGGUCUUGGUUCCCAGCACAGUUCUGCUGGAUGCCAGGCAUAAUUGCUAUUCACUACCCCUUGUAUUUGCACAUCUUUGCUGGUUUGAACAAAAAAUUAUAUUACUUUAUUGAUGUCAUUCCCAUACAGAAUUUUAGAGCUGUAAGAGAACUUAAGUCCUGAGUUGUCUGGAUGCUAAAUGUGAGACCUGAGAGGUCAAGUGACACGCUAAGGUCACACCGAAGAUGACAGGGAGCAAGACUCAGACCUUGGGCAUGCAGGCCUGUGCUUUUCAUUGCUUUCAUUUGUAUCAUGACCUGGUCCUUUUAGAAGGUGGUGAAUUACAGGCUAGCAGGAAAGGUCUGCGUGUGCCUCAUCCUGGAGGCUUAUUUGAAAACUGGAGAAAAAGAUGUCUUCUCUAGUAUCCAUGCUGGGUUUCAAGGUGGGCUGGAAUCUUCUCGUGAGAGUGCAGGGAAGUGAGAAUGGAGAGAAAGGGGGUGUGCGUUGCCUCUUGGCUUGUUUUUCUAAGCACAAAAUGAAACUUUUUUCCAGGCAACUUUUUCUUUUCUUUUUUUUUUUUUUUUUACAAAAAUAAUAAUUUGAGACUCUUUCCCAGGGCAAAAAUACACUGUGCAGUCUUUGUGCCCACAGCACCUGUAGAAGGGAUUGAAUUGAAGUUUUGUUCAAGGUGCUGAAAGUUUAUGGUCCAUUUAGCUGUGAAGCAGAGUUUAAUGUUGGCAAACUUUUGUGUUUGUUUUAGUUUCUGAAAGUUGCUAACCAUUUUCCCUUUCUUGGGGAGGAGAGCAGGCCUGGCAGGAAAGGCAGGGCCAUCACUGGGGCAGGGUGGGCGGGGUGGGUAGUGUUUAGGUACAGAAUCUUAAUGGGCCAGUAGAUAUGUCUGCCUGAUGCCUUUAGCACCACAGCCUGUUAGCCUGACCUGCUGGCACAUGGAGUUAAGGCCGCAGAGGCUGAGGAAAGUGGGUGUUUUCGGAGCCCCUUCCUUCAGCAGUUUCAUCCAGUGUGGAUGCUGAUGGACAGCUACAAUCCCCAGAGCCAAGUGCACAUUCCUGCAAAAGAUAAACAUUUGUCUAUUUGCUCAACUCUGCUCUCACUUUGUUACCAUCUAAGCCAGAUCUAUCAUGCCCUCGAUGCAUUUGGCAGGAGGGAAAACAGAUGGUCAUAGACCUGGCUAAACAGUUCCUAUUUCUGCAGCCCUGGCACUAGUAAUUCUGGGUCUACUUGCAAUUUUGUGUAAGACGCUAGAUAAGAGGCCUAAAGCCCAUCACCUGCCCUGGUCUAUGCACUAGCAAUAAGCAGAUGUUACCUUGAGUCUGGAGUAACAACCAGACUCAUUUGGCAAUUCUGGAGGCAAAUUGCUUGUCAGAAACACAAAAACAAAUAUUUCAUAAACAUAAUAAUCAUGUGUCAAGGGUAAGUCUCAUGUUCCUACCUCAUUUCUUUGUCCUUUCCCCUAAUUUCCAUUUUCUCCAAGGUAAUUCAGGACCCUGCUGCCUCUUGCCUAAAUUAGGGCAAGAACUUUCUAUCUCAUCUCCUUGCCUCUAGACUCUCCCCACUCCUCCCUACUCCUUGCAAGUGCACCUCAUUCCUGGCUACCAUAGGCACAAUCUUCUCUCUCCUUAGUGGGAAGAGAUCACAUCUGAUUCAGCAUGAGUACCUCAGCACUCAGCAUGGUUACAUCAGCACCCUGGUACAUAGAUGCUCAAAUGAUAGUUGUUAUAAAAAUGAAUGCAUAAAUCAAGUGCUAUAGUGUUGGGUUGGUACACAUAGAAUGUCUCUGUAAGUUCAUUUUUAACUUCUCUAUUUAAAGGAGGGAUCAUGGUUCAGAGGAAAGAGCACUAAAGUACGAGUCAGAAGACUUGGCUUUGCAUGAUAGCUGUGUCACCAUAUGCUAGCUGUCAUGCUAAGUGCUUUGAAUUCACUAUCUCAUCUCUUACAAAUAACCUCUGAGAUAUAUAUAUAAUCUUCAUAUAUGAU